rnacentral:rRNA from 1 species
GCGGCAGGCCUAACACAUGCAAGUCGAACGGUAGCACAGAGGAGCUUGCUCCUUGGGUGACGAGUGGCGGACGGGUGAGUAAUGUCUGGGAAACUGCCCGAUGGAGGGGGAUAACUACUGGAAACGGUAGCUAAUACCGCAUAACGUCGCAAGACCAAAGAGGGGGACCUUCGGGCCUCUUGCCAUCGGAUGUGCCCAGAUGGGAUUAGCUAGUAGGUGGGGUAACGGCUCACCUAGGCGACGAUCCCUAGCUGGUCUGAGAGGAUGACCAGCCACACUGGAACUGAGACACGGUCCAGACUCCUACGGGAGGCAGCAGUGGGGAAUAUUGCACAAUGGGCGCAAGCCUGAUGCAGCCAUGCCGCGUGUAUGAAGAAGGCCUUCGGGUUGUAAAGUACUUUCAGCGAGGAGGAAGGCGUUGUGGUUAAUAACCGCAACGAUUGACGUUACUCGCAGAAGAAGCACCGGCUAACUCCGUGCCAGCCGCCGCGGUAAAAGGG